UGGGGGAUAACUACUCGAAAGAGUAGCUAAUACCGCAUACGAUCUGAGGAUGAAAGCGGGGGACCUUCGGGCCUCGCGCGAUUGGAGCGGCCGAUGGCAGAUUAGGUAGUUGGUGGGAUAAAAGCUUACCAAGCCGACGAUCUGUAGCUGGUCUGAGAGGACGACCAGCCACACUGGGACUGAGACACGGCCCAGACUCCUACGGGAGGCAGCAGUGGGGAAUUUUGGACAAUGGGCGAAAGCCUGAUCCAGCAAUGCCGCGUGCAGGAUGAAGGCCUUCGGGUUGUAAACUGCUUUUGUACGGAACGAAAAAGCUUCUCCUAAUACGAGAGGCCCAUGACGGUACCGUAAGAAUAAGCACCGGCUAACUACGUGCCAGCAGCCGCGGUAAUACGUAGGGUGCGAGCGUUAAUCGGAAUUACUGGGCGUAAAGCGUGCGCAGGCGGUUAUGUAAGACAGAUGUGAAAUCCCCGGGCUCAACCUG
rnacentral:rRNA from 1 species